GGGGUGGAAGGGGUGAAAGACUGCUGUGAAGGGGUGAAGGACUGCACUCGCUGCACUUAAGCUCUUCUAAUUUAAUUUGUGCUCUUAGAAAAAGGCUGAACUGCAUUGCGUUUGCAUUUGAAUACACCCUAAAUGCUAAGAUUAAAUAUAACCUAACGAAUCGUAUCUUUUGUUUAACGACUGAACUGUCAAAUACCGCCUAAAUUAAACCAAUCCAUUUUUAUGUCCCUGGGAACGCUCAGUUUAAAUUAUUUUCAAGACCUAUAAAGAGACAACAGAAAACAUAAACAGCUUGACUUGCUUAAAACGUGUGUUCUCCCUAAUUAAAUAGGAAACAUCUGUCUCGAGAUUCUGGAAGUGGCUACGAUGUACUCACACUGAGCCUAAAGCAGCCUGCAUCCAGCCCGAGCUGCUCUAGAGGAGACCCCUCGCUGUCUGCGAGGAGCUGAGCGAGCAGCGGCUCCCGGGGCGCUCCAUCCCUCCCAGCCGCGCACCGCCGACGCGAGCAGCGGUCCGAGCGGCCGCUCGGUGCCCGCACACGGCCCCGCAGAGCACUUACUCGUGUUAUCGAAGGGGAUCUGCCUGCAGCGCGCGGCCGGCCAGCCGCAGUGGUACACCGCUCCUCCUUCCACGAUGUCCGGCUGCGUGGUGUUGGCUCGGGGAGCUCCCACCAGGACGCUGACCGUGCUGGGGUCGGGGAUGUAGAAGUCCACCGAGUACCCGAAGUAGCUGCCGGGCGGCCCGCUGUACACCGUCAGCUUCUCCUCGUCCAGGUUGAAGGCCGACGCCGGCGCGCAGAGCAGGGCUGACAGGAGGAGCAGCGGGCGCGGCAGCUGCCGGCGCGGCAUCCUCGUCCCCUGCGCGGCUCGCGGCGGCCGGGAGCAGCGCCGGAGCGGAGCGGAGCGGCGCAGCGCUGGGCUGCCUGCGGCGGGACGGGCGGCUGCAGGGCGGCUCGGCCCCGCUCACCCCGGCGUGCCGAACGGAGAGCCGCCCUCCGGCGCCCCCUGGCGGCCCGUGGAGACGGAGGGAGGGAGGGAG
rnacentral:lncRNA from 1 species